AGAAAUGGAGGCUCAAAAUGUUAUACAAUUUGCACCACUAAGCUAAUAGAUUUGAAUUCAGCCUGAAUGACACAGCCUGGGUGCUGACUGCCUUCCGAUCCCACAGAGUGAGGACAUCCCAAUUCACAGCAUCCUUGAAGAAGAAGAUGAAGAUGGUAAAGACAAAAAUAAUCAUCAUAGUAAAACACUAGCUAACAUUUGGUCCAGUGUGGUAACAACAUCAUGUUGCUGUAGUCCCUGGAUACCUCACUAUCUCCUGUGGGUCCACUUAACCCUGCCCACACCUCCGUCAUGAAACCUUCCUCAGUUGAACUCUUUGAGCCACUUUGUUUACAGGGCUAUAAAUGAGCCUCAGGUCUGGAGACACACCAAUUGAUCAGAGGCAUCCUAACAUAAUUAGCCAGGAAGGAAGGAAGGAAGAGAACACAUGGGUCAAAGCCAAACCACCUGAAGAUGAUUCUAGAAGUCAGUGGAGAUGGAGUAAAGUCUGAAAGUUUGAAAGAACCUGCUCGUUUCAGGUUCACUGAUAAUUCUAUUUGAAUAUAAAAUCUCAAAUGUCUAUUAAAACUAAAUUAAAAUCCAUCUUUAUGCUUGUUAUUGCAUCUAUCCAAAGCAGAUGGAUGAAUUUUUUUCCAAAUUUGGAAGCCAUACUUGGGAUGGGCUCACUGAAAACAGUGCUUCUAUGACAUGUUCAGUCAUUCCCAGGAGCAGCUGAGCAUGAGGCACCAUAAACGGUGAGAGCAGGAGAGGCUGGAAGGGGAGACAUAUGCCUCUGCUAGGUUGUGAGGGACAACUGAUCUCAAUGUGUAAGCCCCUAGUUGGAAGGCACAAGCGCAGAUGUUCCUAGCUGCCAUCAUAAGUUCCAUUCUGUAAUGGAGGUGCUUAUCACAGGGGCAAUUCUGGGAAACCUUCUCCAGGACUCCAAGGUGAACAUCAUCAGGGCUUAACUUAUUUCACAAAGGUUUACAAGGCCCCUCAGUAGCACCGGGAGACGAGCUUGUGAUGAAUGGUAUUACAGUGGAGCAGCUUCCUGAGUGCUCCUGUUCUAGUAACUCUCUUUUGGAAACAUACUCAUAUUUGUCAAUAACAUUCUCACUGUGCAUGCCUGGAAACUAAGCCCAUUAAUCCUGCUGUGGUCUGGCCCCAUUCAUAGUGCCAGGGAAACUAUCACCUUUCUUGCUUUAGAUAGGAAUAUUCAAUGAGUACAGCCUGUGAUCAAAGCAGCUUGUCUUUUUUCACAGCCACACAGUAGUAUUGAUCCAUAUUGAAAUUUCAGUCAGUGACAACUCUUAAGUGUUUUUCUUUUUUUCCAUUUGACCAGAGAAGAAAGGAAAGGUGCCCAUAGUCCCGUCAAUGGGCAUUAUCCAGGGAUCAAAGAGGAGACUGGAUGUGGAUUUGAAGUAAUGAUCUAGCAAUAGUGGACAGGGCUGGGGCUGGCUGGUUUGCUGACUGUAUCUAGAGCUUCUUGUCAGGAGUAGGUUGCUUGUUACAAACCAUUUUCCCCAUAUUUCUGGUCUUCUUGGCUCCUUUGGCUUGUGGAAGGCUGGAACAGUCCAGAGUCAAUCAGAUUGAGGUUUUCUGCUUGUUUCAGUUUUCCCUGGCUCUGCGUUUCCCACCUCCUUUAGCUUAUUUCUGUU